AGCGCGCAAGCUGGUCGACCGCUAAGGGGCGUACUUACGACUACAAAUAUGACACAAUUUCGACACAAACUGCUUCUCAGUGAAUAUGAUUGUGCUCAGUGCUCAGCUCUGCUUUUAAAUAGGAUAAACAUUAUCACCACGGAAGACAAAGCUGUGAGUGCACCUCACAUACGAUGCGUUUGCGGAUUCCGAGGGGAAAUCAAUAGGAAAUACCAAGCUGUUUAACCCAUCUGGCGGCUGACCAACCUGCUUAUGAAGUCAUACGCCGUUGUGAGGUUCAGUGAAAACAUUUAUUCUCACUCAGCUGUAUGAUCAGAGUCCAUCUAUUGCCGUAUUCCAUGCACUGUACGAUUACCACGAGCCGUAUGGCAGAGUACAUUCAAGCUGGUGGCACGUACAACCGCACUGCAGCACAUAGUCUUGUUGUUCAUUACGACCGAUUCGAUCAAAUCUUCAAAGACACUCCAUUGCGAUAAUCUGAUUAGGCGAUGGAUUAUGAAGAGACGUCAUUGUUUCGGCACACCCUAGUGAUGUUCUUCUGGUCGCGCUCGUCCAUAGAUGAAAAUGUGAUUUACAUGGAUCUUAAUUUCACCAAGCCGCACGCCCUAACAGCUGAAGUUAUGAAUAAUUUCACUGCGGAUUAUUAUGAUAGGCCGUCCUCUAUAUUUCGAGUUCUACGUCCGGUAUGACCCUUAACUAUCUCAUCAAACGGCUAACCCCCAGCACGAAAGGAACUGUGUGUACACGCCUGGGCCCGAACCAAGAUCACAACAUGUACCUAAAAUUAGCACGCAACUACAUUGUCCACUAAGUUAUCACAAGGACGGUAGGCCGUCCUAAAAAUACAUCAGCCGAGCAUCGUCUGACCGAAUCUUUAGGGACGAGCUACUUUAUAUGUAAUAUGUAGCGCUACGGAUUAGUUUACUGUAGUGAAAAUGCAUGAUACCGUAAUUUAAAUGUUACAUUUUAUAUGUGAACUAUAAUCAAAACUGUAGAAAUAGGACGUAUGCGGACAUUAUAUUUACGACGAUCAGAAAACUCUAAAAUAGUCUAAUAUAAAUGCUCCAUUGUUUUUAAAAGUUUUGUGAUCAGCACAAACUAUACUUUUUCAGAAGAGUGGUUGAUUUUUAUCUAAAACACUAUCGGGAUACGACGCGCGGAUCUGCUUAUACAC